GAUGAACGCUGGCGGCGUGCCUAAUACAUGCAAGUCGAGCGAACAGACGAGGAGCUUGCUCCUCUGACGUUAGCGGCUGACGGGUGAGUAACACGUGGAUAACCUUCCUAUAAGACUUGGAUAACUUCGUGAAACCGGAGCUAAUACUGGCUAAUAUAUUGAACCGCAUGGUUCAAUAGUGCAAGACGGCUUUCCUGUCACUUUUAGAUGGAUCCGCGUCGCAUUAGCUAGUUGGUAAGGUAACGGCUUACCAAGGCAACGAUGCGUAGCCGACCUGAUGGGGGGAGCGGCCACACGGAAACGGAAACACGGCCCAAACACCUAGGGAGGGCAGCAGGGGGGAAUUUGGAGAAAUGGGGGAAAGCAGGACGGAGCAACGCGCGUGGGGGAAGAAGGGCUUCGGGUUGUAAAAACUCUUUUAUGGGGAAGAAAAGAAGGAGGAAAAAACUAAGAAGUUCUGGAGGUAACCAAAGAAGAAGCCCAGGCUAAAUUAGUG
rnacentral:rRNA from 1 species